CUUUCAAUGACAUAAGUUUUUAUUUCUCUCAGAUAAAUACCAAGGAGUACAAUGCUGACCAUAGGAUUAUAAUAAGCAUGACAGUCGGUACCAUAUGCAUUUUGUUCACCGUAUAUUCAGAAACUAGAACAAUACCUGUACACGGCAGUGCUCAAUAAAAAUCUGCUGAGAGCACAACCAGAAGGACCACGACUACAAUAUACAGCUAUUUACUGGGCGGCUUUGGGGAGAAGAAGAAAAAGGAAAAAGAAACAGAGAAGAUUGGCAACAGAUGUUAGCUAAGAUGCAAGGCCAAAGGGACAAAGAAGCCCCUUUAUAUGAAAGUAUUCUCAUCUAUCCAUAAAACAAUCCUCAAAAUCAAAAGAAUUGGCUAAACCAACACUAUAAGAAGCUUUGAUAUUGUUUCGUGCUUUUGCGGGUGGAAACACAUAUUUUACAGAUUUUAUUCAUUUACUGUAAUCCAGUAGAUGGUGCUACAUGUCUGUAUAUGUAAAGUACAACAAAUGCCUUUUUUCUUUUUUCUUUUUGCCUUUUCUUUCUGUCUUUUUUAGCCAGAACUCUCAUCAAGGUCUACUAUUAUAAUGAAGCUCAUUAUUCCUGACAUCUGAGCCAAAUCUCUGGGUGCAGCAUUAAAGAUGUACUUAAGGAGAAAACCCCCCAGAAAUAAUUGUCGACCAAAUACCAACCUAACAAUCUAUUAGAAGGUUUUUUUCCUCAGCUCAUGCUUACUCUAAAAUAACAAAAUCUGUGGUGUCACACAGAACUCUGCGUCAGUCCAUCAAAAACAUCCAGAUGCAAAAUCGUAG
rnacentral:lncRNA from 1 species